rnacentral:tRNA from 1 species
GCCCCUGUAGUCUAGUCCGGUCAAGGACACCGGCCUUUCGAGCCGAAAACUCGGGUUCAAAUCCCGGCGGGGGCA